rnacentral:rRNA from 1 species
CAACUUUCAACAACGGAUCUCUUGGCUCUUGCAUCGAUGAAGAACGCAGUGAAAUGCGAUACGUAAUGUGAAUUGCAGAAUUCCGUGAAUCAUCAAAUCUUUGAACGCAAAUUGCACUCCUUGGUAUUCCGAGGAGUAUGCUUGCUUGAGGGUCGAAUC